AUUGAACGCUGGCGGCAUGCCUUACACAUGCAAGUCGAACGGCAGCACGGGUGCUUGCACCUGGUGGCGAGUGGCGAACGGGUGAGUAAUACAUCGGAACAUGUCCUGUAGUGGGGGAUAGCCCGGCGAAAGCCGGAUUAAUACCGCAUACGAUCUACGGAUGAAAGCGGGGGACCUUCGGGCCUUGGGCAAUAGGGUUGGCCGAUGGCUGAUGAGCUAGUUGGUGGGGUAAAGGCCUACCAAGGCGACGAUCAGUAUCUGGUCUGAGAGGAAGACCAGCCACACGGGGACUGAGAAACGGCCCAGACUCCUACGGGAGGCAGCAGUGGGGAAUUUUGGACAAUGGGGGAAAGCCUGAUCCAGCAAUGCCGCGUGUGUGAAGAAGGCCUUCGGGUUGUAAAGCACUUUUGUCCGGAAAGAAAUCCUUGGCCCUAAUACGGUCGGGGGAUGACGGUACCGGAAGAAUAAGCACCGGCUAACUACGUG
rnacentral:rRNA from 1 species